UACGUAGGGUGCGAGCGUUGUCCGGAAUUAUUGGGCGUAAAGAGCUCGUAGGCGGCUUGUCGCGUCGGAUGUGAAAGCCCGGGGCUUAACUCCGGGACUGCAUUCGAUACGGGCAGGCUAGAGUUCGGUAGGGGAGAUCGGAAUUCCUGGUGUAGCGGUGAAAUGCGCAGAUAUCAGGAGGAACACCGGCGGCGAAGGCGGAUCGCUGGGCCGACACUGACGCUGAGGAGCGAAAGCGUGGGGAGCGAACAGG
rnacentral:rRNA from 1 species